UACGUAGGGUGCGAGCGUUGUCCGGAAUUAUUGGGCGUAAAGGGCUCGUAGGCGGUGUGUCGCGUCGGCCGUGAAAACCUGGGGCUUAACUCUGGGCGUGCGGUCGAUACGGGCAUCACUAGAGUUCGGCAGGGGAGACUGGAAUUCCUGGUGUAGCGGUGAAAUGCGCAGAUAUCAGGAGGAACACCGGUGGCGAAGGCGGGUCUCUGGGCCGAUACUGACGCUGAGGAGCGAAAGCAUGGGUAGCGAACAGG
rnacentral:rRNA from 1 species